GUGUCAGCCGCCGCGGUAAGACGUAGGGGGCGAGCGUUACCCGGAAUUACUGGGCGUAAAGGGGGCAUAGGCGGUGAUACAAGUCAUCUGUGAAAACCUAUUGCUCAACGAUAGGCUAGCGGAUGAAACUGAAUUACUUGAGGGCACCAGAGGUAGACGGAAUUACCCGAGUAGGGGUGAAAUCCGCAGAUACGGGUAGGAACGCCGGUGGAGAAGUCGGUCUACUGGGGUGCACCAGACGCUGAGGUCCGAAAGCUAGGGGAGCAAACCGGAUUAGAUACCCGGGUAGUCCUAGCCGUAAACGAUGCUCACUAGGUGUAGGGAGUGAUAAACUCUCUGUGCUGAAGCGAACGCGCUAAGCAUCCCACCUGGGGAGUACGGCCGCAAGGUUGAAACUCAAAGGAAUUGACGG
rnacentral:rRNA from 1 species